UUCCCCAAUCUGGUGCCCUCCCUAGGUUUUGGACUACCACGUCCACCAGCCGAAGUCAGCUGAUGGAGUUGUAAUUCAAAACAUACAGAGGGCACCAGAUUAGGAAAU